rnacentral:lncRNA from 1 species
GGCAAAGGAAAAGUGGCACGGCAGGAAGCAAGUCAGAUGAGGGGGCCUGGUUUGUGCGAGAACAUGACAAACCAGUGUUCCUGAAGCCUAAAGGGAAGGUGAGACAAGGCAGAGGAGGCUGGCGGGGCCAGGUCACGGAGUCUCCUGUGCCACACUGAGAGUCUGGGCUUGAGCUUGUGGAGAGCCCAAGGAUGAAAACAGAGAAGUAAUUAAUGGCAGCUUUCCUGGGCCAGAAGAAUAAAUAAGGAAUUAUCUUACAAACAGCAACCAUGAAAUUAGAAGUUUGGUAAAACAUGUUGCAGAAGAACCAGGAAACACAUUGCAAUUGAGCCUGCUGGGUGCUGCUGCAAGUUUGGGGGUGAACAGGAG